rnacentral:rRNA from 1 species
GGGGUGAGAGGCUCCCAGCCAGACUACUGGGUUGAUAGGCCGGAUGUGGAAGCGUAGUAAUACGUGAAGCUGACCGGUACUAAUAAGCCGAUGACUUGAUAACACA